UAACCUGCCUCUUAGCGGGGGAUAACUAUUGGAAAAAAUAGCUAAUACCGCAUAAAAGUCGAUAUCGCAUGAUAUUGAUUUGAAAGGUGCAAUUGCAUCACUAAGAGAUGGACCUGCGUUGUAUUAGCUAGUUGGUGAGGUAACGGCUCACCAAGGCGACGAUACAUAGCCGACCUGAGAGGGUGAUCGGCCACACUGGGACUGAGACACGGCCCAG
rnacentral:rRNA from 1 species